rnacentral:rRNA from 1 species
CUUUGGAGGUUGUGCCCUUUGAGGCGUGGCUUCCGGAGCUAACGCGUUAAGUCGACCGCCUGGGGAGUACGGCCGCAAGGUUAAAACUCAAAUGAAUUGACGGGGGCCCGCACAAGCGGUGGAGCAUGUGGUUUAAUUCGAUGCAACGCGAAGAACCUUACCUACUCUUGACAUCCAGAGAACUUAGCAGAGAUGCUUUGGUGCCUUCGGGAACUCUGAGACAGGUGCUGCAUGGCUGUCGUCAGCUCGUGUUGUGAAAUGUUGGGUUAAGUCCCGCAACGAGCGCAACCCUUAUCCUUUGUUGCCAGCGGUUCGGCCGGGAACUCAAAGGAGACUGCCAGUGAUAAACUGGAGGAAGGUGGGGAUGACGUCAAGUCAUCAUGGCCCUUACGAGUAGGGCUACACACGUGCUACAAUGGCAUAUACAAAGAGAAGCGACCUCGCGAGAGCAAGCGGACCUCAUAAAGUAUGUCGUAGUCCGGAUUGG